ACGUAGGUGGCGAGCGUUAUCCGGAAUUAUUGGGCGUAAAGGGAGCGUAAGCGGAUAAUUAAGUGGGAUGUGAAAUACUCAGGCUCAACCUGGGGGCUGCAUUCCAAACUGAUUAUCUAGAGUGCAGGAGAGGAGAGUGGAAUUCCUAGUGAGGCGGUGAAAUGGGUUGAGAUUAGGGCGAACGUAAGGGGGGAAGGGGACUAUCUGGGAUUUAACGGCCUCUUGUGCGUGGUAGCGUGGGGACCACAAAG
rnacentral:rRNA from 1 species